UGCAGAUGAUGUUAUUAAUAUUUGCUAUCUGAACAGCAAUGCUGACAAUCUUCCACCAAGAUCGCUGAUGCA
ensembl:snoRNA SNORD24 Small nucleolar RNA SNORD24